rnacentral:rRNA from 1 species
GAUGAACGCUGGCGGCGUGCCUAAUACAUGCAAGUCGAGCGAACAGAUGAGGAGCUUGCUCCUCUGACGUUAGCGGCGGACGGGUGAGUAACACGUGGAUAACCUACCUAUAAGACUGGGAUAACUUCGGGAAACCGGAGCUAAUACCGGAUAAUAUAUUGAACCGCAUGGUUCAAUAGUGAAAGACGGUUUUGCUGUCACUUAUAGAUGGAUCCGCGCCGCAUUAGCUAGUUGGUAAGGUAACGGCUUACCAAGGCAACGAUGCGUAGCCGACCUGAGAGGGUGAGCGGCCAGACUGGAACUGAGACACGGUCCAGAAUCCUACGGGAGGCAGCAGUAGGGAAGCUGCCGAAAUGGGCGAAAGCCUGACGGAGCAACGGCGCGUGAGUGAUGAAGGGCUUCGGAUCGUAAAACUCUGUUAUGAGGGAAGAACAAAUGUGUAAGUAACGAUGCACGUCUUGACGGUACCUAAUCAGAAAGCCACGGCUAACUACGU